AAUUCUCCUGCCUCCGCCUCCUGAGUAGCUGGGAUUACAGUGUAGUGGUGGUGUGGCCAUACAGAAGAAAUUCUCUGUUCACAGGAGAUGCAUGUUAAGUAUUAAAGGGGUAAAGUAUUAUGACAUCCGUACCUUCUCUCAGGCGGUUUGGCAAAAGGGAGGUGGGUUGGUAGGGACACACACAAGCAUGCAUGCAUGUGUAUGUGUAGAGAGAGAUAAAGUGAGUGUACCUAGAGUUUAAUAGAGUUUAACAGAGAGUGAAUCUAGGUGAGGAGUAGACUAUUUUUUCAAUUUUUUGUGGGCUUGAAAUUUUAAAAAAUAAAUUAGAAAUAAAUCAAUUAUAGCUAAUAAAAAACUAAUUAAAAACCCAAAACAUCCGCUACUCUAUUGAAUUUCUUAUUUGAACAGAGUUUGAAAGUCUGAAUCUCAUACAGAUAAACAUCUUGCAUUGUAUACAAACCACUUGCAAAUGUGUGUGUGUGUGUGUGUGUGUGUGUGUGUGUGUGUGUGUAUAAAUAAAUGAAAUCAAAACAAAAACAAACACCACUCUGCUGAACCAAAGAAGCUCCUCAGGUGCACAAUCUGGAGACAACCAGAUAGGGCCCUAGGCUAUGCAUCUUCAAAAAAAGAAGGUAAACUCUUCUUUUAUGUUUAAGACUUUUUUGUGGGGGUUUUGGGGAAUCUAAAGUAGAAAAUAAGAGGAAAACAAAACAAAAGAAAUAAAAUCUGUAAGUCUAAUAAGCACCUUUUCAAUUUUCCAUUUAACAGCAGGUAACAACUGGUUUAAUUUACUGAUUUCUUGUUACCAGUUCAGAAUUUUAUCAUCAACCUUUUAGCUUAGUGAUACAACUUUAAACUGACCCUUAUAACUUUCCUAUAGAUAAAAAAAUUCAUAUUUCUUUUGCAGAGAACAAGUUGAGGCAUGUUGAGAGACAUGAACAAAAGUCAUGAAAGGAAGGUAGUAAUGACAUAAUCAGGAGAGAAGUAGACUUCAGGCUUCUAUUUUGCUGCUAUAAAUAACUUAUGUGUAGAAUCAGUCAAUAUAGCUUAAAUCAUAGGAAUUUGGCUUCUAUAUUUCUUACUCAUUUUGAUUUUUCCCCAAACAGCAAACCUGCUAAAGAUGUUAAAGGAAUAAAAUCCAACAUCAUACUUCAUUCUUUUGCUGAUUUCUUUUCCAUCUCAUAUCUGGCUAUUAACACACGGAAAUACCUCACCAGAUGACUGCCCAGUUACGUUAGGUAGUUUAAUGAAAACCAGGAGUUAAGUGGCUGCAUGAGUUUUAUCUAAUAAAAGUAUUUCAUGCCUACAAUCUCUGUACAGUAAUCAUUUUUUAAUAUUAAUGAAAUUUGGGGCUAUUCUUACACAGGGAAAUGAACUGACAUUGCAUUAAAUGUUAAGAGUUUUGGUGAAUACUACAGGAAUAUUUAUGAAUAAACACAUGUCUACAUGGGCAUACACAGUCACAAAAUGAAUUAAAAACAGAAUAGGGAAAAAAUAACAUCGUAUCUUUAAAGCAAAUCUUUUAUAUUCAAGCUACAUAUGACAGAAUAAACGUCAUAGCAUAUUUGGACCUACGUUUAACACUAAAAAUGCAAGAGAAAAUACUAAAUAUAUAGCAGUUAGUUACAAAACUUCGGGCAACUCAGUAUGUGCUAAGCACUUUAUAUACCCUGUUUCAUUUAAUUCUCACACUAAUGCUCUUCUAGGGUAUUGUCAUUCCUAUUUUGUGGAUGAAGAAAUUAAAGUUCAAAGAGUUAAAUAACCUGGCUAAGGUUACAGUGAGUGGGUAAGCACUUGAAGCCACACUGAAACCCAAUUUAACAACAAAGCCCAUGUUUUUAACCAUGAAGAUAUACUAGCCAGAAAGCCGUAUUUUAGCUAGAAAUUCUGGCUUUAUCUCAAUUAAUCUUACAAGCCAACUGAUAAAAACAAGCAAAAUUGAAUCACUUUUAGUUUUCUCUUCCUCCACUUCCUCUGGUAAUUUUCUUUUUUUUUGGUAAUGUUAAUAAGUAGCAAUUAUAGCUAAAAUUUAAAACAAUUUUUAGGGUUAUAAAAACUGUUUUAAGACAAAAAGAGGCUAGAUAACCUGCAAACUAGAUGAUUAACUAUCAAAUAAUUAAGAUCAUAAUUCGCUCUAAAGAAAAUACAUUUAAAGGAACUAAGUUCAUUGAGUCAGAUCAAAUCGUCAGCUCUGAAUUGCCUUUUAUCUGUACAAUGUUUACAAUUUACAGAGAAAAGUAAAAAAGCCACAAGAAUGUCUCCAAAUAGAAAAAAAUAAUUAGCCAGGCAUGUUGAAGCACGCUUGUCCUAGCUGCUCAGGAGGCUCAUGUGGGAGGAUUACUUGAGCUCAGGAGUUCAAGGUUGCAGUGAGUUAUCAUCAUGCCACUGCACUCCAGCCUAGGCAAAUGAGAGAGAUUCUGUCUGUUAAAAAAAAAAAAAAGGAAAGAAAGAAAAAUAAAGUAUUAGCAUACUAGCCUUGAUUGUUUCUUCAGAUACUUGGUUCUGUAAUGCUUUUAAAGCUUCAUCUUUCUUCAUAUUUUCCUUUUUCAUUUCCUAAAAACAGUAAGAAAAGUAUAAGUAUGCAGAUUUGAUUAGAUUUAAAGGCAAGUUAUAGAGACAUAAAAUAUUAGUCAACUUCUAAAUAGCACUUUUAUAAGGAUGAUUUUACCCCUUUGCUUUCCGUCAAGAGUCUAUCUAGUGAUUCAAGAUGAUGUUGUUUGCAUAUUAUAUCUUGUUGCAACAUGGACAUAGUCUUUUCUUGUUCUUUAAAUUGUUGGUCCUUUUUCUCUAGUUGAGCUUCAAGCUAAACAUGAAAACAGAAUUUUCAUAUUAAAUAUUUUAAAAUUUUGAAACAUUUUAAAUAUUAAAUACAUGUGACACUAUAAUUGAAAUUACAUAGAUUUUUGUAUUUUGCCAAAUUGUCUUCAGCUUCUCUCUUUUUAAGGAAGAAAUGAAAUCACUUGCAUGAACAGACACUUCUCAAAAGAAGACAUAUAUGUGGACAACAAACAUACAAAAAAAAAGCUCAACAUUGCUGAUCGCUCAAGAAAUGCAAAUCGAAACCACAAUGAGAUACCAUCUCAUGCCAGUCAGAAUGGCAAUUAUUAAAAAGUCAAAAAACAGAUGCUGGAGAGGUUGCAGAGAAAAGGAACACUUUUACAUUGCUGAUGGGAGUGUAAAUUAGUUCAACCAUUGUGGAAGGCAGUGUGGCAUUUCCUCAAAGACCUAGAGGCAGAAACACAAUUUGACCCAGCAAUCCCAUUACUGGGUAUAUACCCAAAGGAAUGUAAGUCAUUCUAUUAUAAAAAUACAUGCAUGUGUAUGUUCAUUGCAGCACUAUUCACAAUAGAAAAGACAUGGAAUCAACCUAAAUGCCCAUCAGUGAUAGACUGGAUAAAGAAAAUGUGGUACAUACAUACUAUGGAAUACUAUGCAGCCAUAAAAAGGAACGAGAUCGUUUCCUUUACAGGGACACGGAUGGAGUUGGAAGCCAUUAUCCUCAGCAAACUAACACAGGAACAGAAAACCAAAUACUGCACGUACUCACUUAUAAGUGGGAGCUGAAUGAUGAGAACACACGAAGACAUGGGGAGGAACAACACAUACUGAGGCCUAUAGGGGAGUGGGAUGGGAGAGAGGGAGCAUCAGGAAGAAUAGCUAAUGGAUGCUGGGCUCAAUACCUAAGUGAUGGGAUGAUCUGUGCAGCAAACCACCAUGGCACACAUUUACCUAUGUGACAAAUCUGCACCUCCUGUACGUGUACCCCUGAACUUAACGGCUGAAGAAAAAAAGGCAAAAUGUAGAAACUAAGAAUAUAGACCCCUUUACCCCUCCCCCUUUACACUGUCGUUGUCACAUGUAUUAUAUCAAUAUACCUCAUCAGUAAAUGUUAUAAUUUCUUCUUUCAACUGCCAUAGAUAUUAUAAAAAUCCUAUAUUUACCAAA